CUACGGGUGGCAGCAGUGGGGAAUAUUGCACAAUGGAGGAAACUCUGAUGCAGCAACGCCGCGUGGAGGAUGACACUUUUCGGAGCGUAAACUCCUUUUAUAUAGGAAGAAGAUGACGGUACUAUAUGAAUAAGCGCCGGCUAACUCCGUGCCAGCAGCCGCGGCAAUACGGAGGGCGCAAGCGUUACUCGGAAUCACUGGGCGUAAAGAGCGUGUAGGCGGAUUAAAAAGUCAGAAGUGAAAUCCUAUAGCUUAACUAUAGAACUGCUUCUGAAACUCUUAAUCUAGAAUAUGGGAGAGGUAGAUGGAAUUUCCGGUGUAGGGGUAAAAUCCGUAGAGAUCAGAAGGAAUACCGAUUGCGAAGGCGAUCUACUAGAACAUUAUUGACGCUGAGACGCGAAAGCGUGGGGAGCAAACAGGAUUAGAUACCCCCGUAGUC
rnacentral:rRNA from 1 species